GCCUGGGUGGCUCAGUUGGCUAAGCCUCUGACUUCAGCUCAGGUCUUCAUCUCACAGUUUGUGGGUUCGAGCCCCACAUCAGGCC
rnacentral:tRNA from 1 species